AGCCUAUAGCUCAAAUCUGGAUCUCAUGAUACAACCAUCGCUAGCUAUCUUUUUCCUGAAGAUUGCUAACAUGGAAGAGUCAUCUGCCAGAAAGAAUCACUUGACAUCUCUGUUCUGAUCAGCUGAAUAGAAAUUUUAUAGUGUUGCCCCCCAAACUUUAUUCACUAGAAUGAUAAAACACAAAAGAACCAACAAAUAAAUUAAGGCACAAAUGGCAAAACAGUGCUUCAAUCCACACCCUUCAUAGCAUUAAAUAGCUCAACGAGUUUGAUGAGAAAAAGCGAACGCCAUCACCCCAACAACAAAUUGUGAACCAGCAAGACUUUGGCGUAAUUCAAUCAACUGAAACAUAUGCACAAGUAUAUAAAGCCGUGGAGUUGGGGUGAAGUAGGAAUUUUUACAAAAAUACAUGACUUGCUAGACCUUGCCUCCUCCCUGCAGCUCAAUUAAGAGAUUAAUGUCAGAUAUUGUGCUGCAAGUGCACAUGUGGAGUUGAUCAUCACCUAUAUUUUCAUGCUGUGAUUCUGCUCUAUCGUCUCUCAUGACUCGAUAUCACAGGCAUUGCCUUUCGAGGCAUGUCAAGCAGCAGGUCUUCUGUAAUAAAGAUCUGAGCACUCGAUGAUGUUUUGAUCCAUUCGACUGGUAGGAAACCUUCUAGAGUAUGUUUAAUUACCAACUCGCCAUCCAUUGUCAAGCUGAAGAUGUACAAUGGAAUGCACUUCAAAUUCUAUAGGGUAGCCCAUAUCUCUAACAAAGCACGCACUGAAUCACGGCAUUUCAUGAACAGGUA